rnacentral:rRNA from 1 species
UGAANCCNCGAAUGGCUCAUUAAAUCAGUUAUGGUUCAUUAGAUUGUACCCACAUUUACUUGGAUAACUGUGGUAAUUCUAGAGCUAAUACAUGCAACACAGAGUCCCGACCAGUGAUGGGAGGGACGCUUUUAUUAGAUCAAAACCAAUCGGUGGCGGGUAGGCUCNCCCNUCCGUCCAUCGUUUAUUUUGGUGACUCUGAAUAACUUUGUGCUGAUCGCACGGUCCUAGCACCGGCGACGCAUCUUUCAAAUGUCUGCCUUAUCAACUGUCGAUGGUAGGUUCUGCGCCUACCAUGGUUGUAACGGGUAACGGGGAAUCAGGGUUCGAUUCCGGAGAGGGAGCNUGAGAAA